UACGAAGGGGGCUAGCGUUGCUCGGAAUGACUGGGCGUAAAGGGCGCGUAGGCGGUUUGUACAGUCAGAUGUGAAAUUCCCGGGCUCAACCUGGGGGCUGCAUUUGAUACGUAUGGACUUGAGUUCGGAAGAGGGUCGUGGAAUUCCCAGUGUAGAGGUGAAAUUCGUAGAUAUUGGGAAGAACACCGGUGGCGAAGGCGGCGACCUGGUCCGAUACUGACGCUGAGGCGCGAAAGCCAGGGGAGCAAACGGG
rnacentral:rRNA from 1 species